ensembl:lncRNA
UGCAAUGCAUUUCUGUUCAUUCACUAAAUUUUGCAUGCACUCCCUAAAAUGAUCAUGGAAAUAAUAUGAGAUAGGAGGAGAACUAUAUUUUAAUUCCUUUGAGAGAGAGCAUAACGUUUCUCAAGGGAACGCUAAAGUUCUGUGAGUGAACACAAAGCUUUUGAUUAUAAUUUUUCCUCUUAUCUCACAUUUUUUUCCAUGAUUUUUUCAAUAAAUUCCUCUUCCUAUCAAUUCAGCUUUGUUGGGGUGUGGCCAAUUCAACUCAAAUUCAACUCCUUAAAAAGGAGCCAGUUCUGCAAUUCUGCAAUUUGCACAACCCUGUUGGAUCAAUAGUUUUCGCAAUGUUGCGAUGUUGGGAAAACCACAUCUGACACUCUUUAUUAAGUAUACUAUGAUCUGAUAUUAUUACCAGACUGCCACUCCAUUACUGUAAUGAGUCCUCUAUAAUACGCUGUGCUAGACUUCCGUGUAACCAGCAAAAUGAAACACCUAUCAGGUAUUUGUUGAUCCAGAUGGCAUACCGACAUGACUCCUGCUUUCUGCCCAGCUCUGUACAGUGUGUUAAGGGAAUAAUCUGACCUUUUGAAAACUUCUGAAGUAUAUUAACCUGAUGGAGGUCACGUGGAUUGAUAAAACGAUAUUUGGAUUGGCAUCAGAUGACUAGGACAGAGUUGUCUAUGUAACAGGGAUAUCAGAGUCAACAUCUCAGCACGGCAAGUUUAUUAGACUCUUGAACCAGAGGUAUUUAAUUACUCUUGAUGUUUAGCACAUAAAAUUCCUUUGAAGAUAAAGUAUAAAUAUGACCUUGGUCUGAGCUAGAGCUCUAGGAAAAACAGCAGUUAUCGCAUACGGACUCUCCAAGUGCUCUCAGCACUGAUCUGGACAUCGUGUUCUGUGUAUCCCCCAUGAUUCAGAGAGGCCUUGCUGCUCAGGCUAUGUUUGGCCCACACAGGAGUGUGUGCCAACUUCACAUCCUGCCAAGGAGAAAGCGCUUUGUGCCCAAGACUUUGCCUUUAGCUAUUAAACCUGCAUGACACAGUGACAGAAGGAACGCCAUUACAACAAAUGCCUGUAUUGCCCCCCCCAUAGUGGCGGCAUCUGUUGCUUUUCCUUCUAGAUUUUUUUUUUUUCCGUUUGGCAUCUACAUCCAUGUGAAAGGGAAAAAAUAUCUUUGACCAGCAGGUCAGUGGGGGGAGGACAGAAUGUACAUUUAUGUUUCUAUUUUUGUCCUCACUAAAGGAAACUGAGUAGAAUGAUAAUAAAAAGAAUAGAAG